rnacentral:lncRNA from 1 species
ACACACCUCCCCAUGCACACCACAAAGACUCCUGAAGCCCAAUGGCGAUAUUUCACACUGAUGUACGAAGCGUGUGUGUGGACUUCCCUGAUUCCGUUAUACAACAAGGGAUCUAGUGCAUUACUGACGAGAGCAGGGAACAAAGCAGACUGUACCAGGAGGAGCCGUGGACACACACAGUAAGCAGGCUGUACCAGGAGGAGCCGUGGACACACACAGUAAGCAGGCUGUACCAGGAGGAGCCGUGGACACACACAGUAAGCAGGCUGUACCAGGAGGAGCCGUGGACACACACAGUAAGCAGGCUGUACCAGGAGGAGCCGUGGACACACACAAUCCCGAGAGAGAGAGAGAGAGAGAGAGAGAGCGAGAGAAGCUCUGCUACAAAGAAGUGUCAACUUAUUCACCUACACCUUCAGUCUCUAUUGUCUUACCAAUAAAGGGGUGCAAUGCACAGUAUCACCAUCAUGAACCAAACCAACAACAAAGGCCAAAAGGAUAGAAAAAGAGAGAAGCCAAAAGAAAGGAGGGGGUCAUGGUGAUACAUGACCUGCCAGAGCAACAGGUCCCUCUCUGGUGAGUUUGAGCUGUGUGUUGUUGUUGUUGGUAUUUUGAUGUGGCAGACCAAUGGGUGGCGUUGUAAAAACAGGAUCAGUGAUGUCAGAGGAGACUCAGAAUGUGGUUAAUUACUACCGUCGUUAGCGCCAGAUUGGAGUGUAAUUCUACCCUGUGUGUGCGUGUGUGUGUGUGUGUCUCAGAGAGUGAAUGAGAGAGAGGAGAGUGUAGCUGAGUUGGUAGAGCAUGGAUGGCUCUUGCAAUGCCAGGGUUGUGGGUUCGAUUCCCAUGGCGACCAACAUUUAUGCACUCACUACUGUAAGUCACUCUGGAUAAGAGCCUCUGCUAAAUGACUGACAUGUAAAUAGAGAGAGAAAUAGUCUAUAUGCAUAUGUGCUCUUGACCUCCCUGACAAUGCCAUCAACAAUAACUUAAAUCCUUCUGCCAUUCAGGCUCACUUUAUCACUAGCCUCUCUCCUUACACUGUACAGUGUAGUGUGCGUCAGAGGCAUUGAGAGAUUACCUGGAGUUAGCAUGUAGCCAUUGCAGGCUGGGGAUUGGAAAGGCAUUGUGGCUUCUUUACUUCAGCCCCAUUACUUGUAAUGACAGGUUGGCCCUCUGCCUGCGCAACUACACUGAAUGAAAAUAUAAAUGCAACAUGUAGUGUUGGGACCAUGUUUCAUGAGCUGAAAUAAAUCCCGGAAAUGUUCCAUAUGCACAAAAAGCUUAUUUCUCUCAAAUAAAUGUGCACAAAUUAGUUUACAUCCCUGUUAGUGAGCAUUUCUCCUUUGUGAAGAUAAUCCAUCCACCUGACAGGUGUGGCAUAUCAAUAAGCUGAUUAAACAGCAUGAUCAUUACACAGGUGCACCUUGUGCUGGGGACAAUAAAAGACCACUUUAAAAUGUGCAGUGAUGUCACACAACACAAUGCCACAGAUGUCAAAAGUGUUGAGGAAGCGUGCAAUUGGCAUGCUGACUGCAGGAAUGUCCACCAGAGCUGUUGCCAGAGAAUAAAAUGUUUAUUUCUCUACCAUAAGCUGCCUCCAACAUUGUUUUAGAGAAUUUGGUAGUACGUCCAACUGGCCUCACAACCGCAGACCACCUGUAACCACGCCUCCUCAGGACCUCCACAUCUGGCUUCUACACCUGCAGGAUCGUCUGGGGGGGGG